UACGGAGGGUGCAAGCGUUACCCGGAAUCACUGGGCGUAAAGCGUGCGCAGGCGGCUUUGCAAGACAGAUGUGAAAUCCCCGGGCUCAACCUGGGAACUGCAUUUGUGACUGCAAGGCUAGAGUACGGCAGAGGGGGAUGGAAUUCCGCGUGUAGCAGUGAAAUGCGUAGAUAUGCGGAGGAACACCAAUGGCGAAGGCAAUCCCCUGGGCCUGUACUGACGCUCAUGCACGAAAGCGUGGGGAGCAAACAGG
rnacentral:rRNA from 1 species